AAUACAUUGGUAGAGGAGCAUUCUUAAAGGGAAGAAGCAGUACCGGUAAGGAGCUGUGGACAUUUAAGAAGAGAGAAUGCCGGAAUGAGUAGCGAGAUGGAGGUGGGAAUCCUCCAGGCCGAAUAUCCAAGGUUUCCAGAGUAAAGCUGAUCUGCUCUGGGUAAGUCGGGGCCUAAGGUAAGGCUGAGAAGCGUAGCCGAUGGACAACAGGUUGAGAUUCCUGUACCGCGUAUCAUCAGAACUGUGGGGACACAGAAGGACAGCACAGCCCGGGAAUGGAAAGACCGGGGCAAGCAGGGUAGGAGUUAAGCUGGCAAAUCCGCUUGACGAUCCGAAGCUGUGAUGCGGAGCGAAUUAAAGUAGCGAAGUGUGUGAUUCCGGCUGUCAAGAAAAGCCGCUAUUGUGUGAUACGUGCCCGUACCGUAAACCGACACAGGUAGAUGAGGAGAGAAUCCUAAGGCCGGCGGGAGAAGCAUUGUUAAGGAACUCGGCAAAAUGACCCUGUAACUUCGGGAGAAAGGGUGCCUGGGAAACCAGGCCGCAGAGAAUAGGCUCAAGCAACUGUUUAGCAAAAACACAGGUCUAUGCAAAACCGUAAGGUGAGGUAUAUGGGCUGACGCCUGCCCGGUGCUGGAAGGUUAAGAGGAGGGGUUAGCGCAAGCGAAGCUCUGAAUUGAAGCCCCAGUAAACGGCGGCCGUAACAAUAACGGUCCUAAGGUAGCGAAAUUCCUUGUCGGGUAAGUUCCGACCCGCACGAAAGGCGUAAUGAUUUGAGCGCUGUCUCGACAAUGCACCCGGUGAAAUUGAAAUACCAGUGAAGAUGCUGGUUACCCGCGCCAGGACGGAAAGACCCCAUGGAGCUUUACUCCAGCUUGAUACUGGGAUUCGGUACUGCAUGUACAGGAUAGGGGGGAGACUGAGAAACUAGGACGCCAGUCUUAGAUGAGUCGCUGUUGGGAUACCACCCCUGCGGUAUUGGAUUUCUAACCUGCAGCCGUGAACCGGCUGGGGGACAAUGUCAGGCGGGGAGUUUGACUGGGGCGGUCGCCUCCGAAAGGGUAUCGGAGGCGCUCAAAGGUUCCCUCAUAAUGGUUGGAAACCAUUAGAAGAGUGCAAAGGCAUAAGGGAGCUUGACUGCGACACCGACGGGUGGAGCAGGUAGGAAACUAGGACUUAGUGAUCCGGUGGUAUGAAAGUGGGAUUGCCGUCGCUCAACGGAUAAAAGCUACCCUGGGAUAACAGGCUUAUCACUCCCAAGAGUUCACAUCGACGGAGUGGUUUGGCACCUCGAUGUCGGCUCAUCGCAUCCUGGGGCUGUAGCAGGUCCCAAGGGUUGGGCUGUUCGCCCAUUAAAGCGGUACGCGAGCUGGGUUCAGAACGUCGUGAGACAGUUCGGUCCCUAUCCGGCGUGGGCGUAGGAUAUUUGAGAGGAGCUGUCCUUAGUACGAGAGGACCGGGAUGGACGGGCCGCUGGUGUACCUGUUGGAGUGCCAACUCCAUGGCAGGGUAGCCAAGCCCGGACGGGAUAAACGCUGAAGGCAUCUAAGCGUGAAGCCCCCCUCAAGAUGAGAUAUCCCAUACGCAGGUAGUAAGACCCCUUGAAGACGACAAGGUAGAUAGGUCAGAGGUGGAAGUGUGGUGACACAUGGAGCUGACUGAUACUAAACGGUCGAGGGCUUGAUC
rnacentral:rRNA from 1 species